UUUCCGUAGGUGAACCUGCGGAAGGAUCAUUAAAGAUUUUUUAUUUUUAGUGGAAAGAUAAUGCUAGCCGUAAGGCGGACUCAUAACCAAGUCAAAAAAACAAAACUAAAAACUUUUAACAAUGGAUCUCUUGGUUCUC
rnacentral:misc_RNA from 1 species